CCACAUGCUUCGAGCCAUGCUUGAGUUGAGCCAGCGAGCGGAGCCGGUGGUGGUGCCGGAGAUGUUAACUUUUUCCAUGGCCAACAUGAUAGGGCAAGUGAUACUAAGCCGCCGGGUGUUUGAAACAAAAGGGUCGGAGUCAAAUGAGUUCAAGGACAUGGUGGUGGAGCUCAUGACCACUGCUGGGUACUUCAAUAUUGGCGAUUUUAUUCCGUCCAUCGCAUGGCUGGACAUCCAAGGGAUCCAGCGCGGGAUGAAGCAUUUACAUAGGAAGUUCGACCGGUUAUUAACAAAGAUGAUGGAGGAGCACACGGCGUCAGCCCAUGAGCGGAAGGGAAACCCAGAUUUUCUGGACGUAAUCAUGGCAAACCAAGAAAAUUCUACAGGGGAGAAGCUCACUAUUACCAACAUUAAAGCACUCCUCCUGGUAUGCAUAGUUAAAGCUCGUCUUUAAUUUUGUUUUCCGAUAUUUUCUUUCCGGAAACAGCACUUUUAUUGGUUUUAGAUAUGUACGUUUUUAUCAGGUAGCCAUUUUAGGGGCACAUAACUGUUCUUUAUUUUUGGACUUUUUUUUUUCUUUUUCCACUUGCAUGGUUGUUUUCAUAUGCUCAGCUGCAUGGCACAAGAAAAUUGUGAAAAAUGAUUGGUUCUCUGAUCAGACCUUCUGCACCAAAACACACUUCUCUCUAUUUUAUAAAAUCGGUUUACAUGAUUUUUCAACCAGCUUCCUUGAACUUGAACUUUUGCUAGGGCUAAUGCAAAAAAUGAUGGAUCUCAAUUUUCAAUAGCGUUUGAUUACAUAAAUUUCAAGUAUGUGAACAUAUUUUUGUUUCCUUGGCUAGAAUUUAUUUACUGCAGGAACAGACACUUCAUCGAGCGUAAUCGAGUGGUCUCUGGCUGAGAUGUUGAAAAACCCGAGCAUCCUCAAGCGUGCUCACGAAGAAAUGGAUAAAGUGAUUGGAAGGAGCCGGCGGCUCGUGGAGUCUGACUUGCCAAAACUUCCAUACCUACAAGCCAUAUGCAAGGAAAGCUUCCGGAAGCACCCAUCCACCCCAUUGAACCUUCCUCGUGUCUCAACCCAAGCAUGUGAAGUGAACGGCUACUACAUCCCAGAGAACACUAGACUUAGCGUNNNNNNNNNNNNNNNNNNNNNNNNNNNNNNNNNNNNNNNNNNNNNNNNNNNNNNNNNNNNNNNNNNNNNNNNNNNNNNNNNNNNNNNNNNNNNNNNNNNNCAAAAUCCAUCCCUCAUCUCUCUCACAAUUUUCUCUUUACCUCUUCUCUUCUUUCCAGUUUCUUUUUAUUUUAUUUUUCAUGCAGACAGAAUCCCCUUACUUUCCUUUGUUUCUCUCUUUAAAAAUUCUGAUUUUGCCCUAAAAAAAAUUGAUUUUUCUCUUUAAAUAUUUUAAUUUUCCUCCUCCAAAUUCUGAUUUGCCUUUCUAAAAUUUCAGAUCUUCCCAACCCAAAUUAAAUUCCGAUUUCCCCCGGUAAAAUUCUGGAUUUUCUCAUCCAAGAUAGUCAAUUUUUUAUUUUUUUUCAAAAGACAUUAUGGGUGUAUUUUGAAAAAUUGAAAAGGUAAUCAUGCAUGGCCAUGUGAGGAGAGAAGAAAAAGUAAAGUAGAUAAGUUGGCAGACAGCAUUGAUGGGAGAAUAAAAGUUCAAAAAUCAAUAAAAUAAUAUUAGAAUAAAAUAAAGAAAAGAAAUAGUGAGUAAAAAGAAUGUAACAUUCGUAAUCUAAGACAUAUAUAUAUAUAUAUAUAUAUAUGUGGGGAAAUUUAAUUUAUAAAGGAAAAUUGGGUUUUAAUUCACUAAUUUAAGUGAAUAAAAAAAAAGAACUCUAAAUUAUAAAUUAAUUUUAUUUUCAUCAAUUUAAAAAUAUUUUACAAUAUAUAUACUUUUUUAUAACUCAAAUAAUUAUUUCUUGAAAUAAUAUUUUUACUUGUUAUGUUAAUAACACCAAUUAAUAAAUAAAAACUAUAAAAUAUAAAAUAUAAAAAUAAAAUAUUAAUUUUCAUUAGUUAAACACAUGUUGGUAGAAAAUAUAGAUAUCCAAAAAGAGUUGGAAAUACAACAAGAAUCAAUAUUUAUUUUUAAAAUUUUAAGUUUUUUUUAAUUGUAUUUACUUUUUAUAUAUUUUAGCUUUAAUUGUAUUUUUUAUUUGAUGGUUGAUUUUAACUAACAAAUUUUUUUAUUCAAUUUUAUUGAAAAAUAAGAAGAUGGGCUUUAUAUAAUAUAGAAUAUAAAAUCAUUAUUAUUUAAAGGAUAAAAAAAAAUUUUAUUUAUCACGAUUUGAAUAAUUUUUUCACAAUGAUUUGCAUCUUAUAAUAAAAAAUUUAUAAUAUAUUUAUUUGUACUAUACUUUUAUCAAAUUAAAUUGAUCAAUUAAUUUUGGAUUAUUUAUUUAAUAUUAUCAAGUAAAAUGGUAUUUAGAAAAUAAUUAUUUGAGUUAUAAAAAAGUAUAUGUAUUUUAAAAUAUUUUUUAAAUUGAUGAAGAUAAAAUUGAUUUAUAAAAAUUAAAGUUUUUUUUUUUUAAAUUAGUGAAUAAAACCCCCAUUUUUUUUUUAACUUUAUAAUGUAGCCAUGGGAUUUUAUAACAUAAGCAAAUUUUACGUGAAAGAGGAAAAAAAUCAACUUUUCAAUUUCCAAUAAUUAUUAUUAUUAUUAGAAAUAUUUGAUUAAAAAAGAUGAAAUAAUCCCCAAAAUCGGAAAUCUAACCCUUCCUAUGCUUUUUCUAAAAAAGUAAUCCAUUUUUUUUUACAUAAAUACCAUUUUCUAUUUCAAGUAUCCAAUUUGGCUGAUUCUUAAUUAGUUGGCAUCAUUACUAUUCUGUAAUUAGUUAGAAUAGUAUUAGGAGUUGAAGGUCAGUUGGAAUACAGGCUUAUGGAAACAAAUCUAUCCCAUUAGUUGGUUCUUAUUAUUUUUAUUAUUUUCAAUAUAGGAGAUGGGCAGCCGCGCCCUUUUGUCUGGGGGCCAUCCUCCCAACUUAUUAAAGGUGAUAUGAGAUUAAGAUUUUAACACUUCUCCUACCAUCGUCAUGACCUGGCUCUCCACAAGCACACCCAGUGCUGACACGUGACUAACAAACCUUCGCUCAUCUACCAAACCCAUGGCCUCAUGCCUUAUAUAUUUCCACAAACCUAGCUCAAUUUUCAUAGCCACCUUCACUAUCCUAUACUCACUAAGCCAUGGCCAUAGAUACAAGCCUCUUGCUUGAGUUUGCUGCAGCAACUCUACUCUUCUUCAUCACCCGCUUCUUCAUUCGUUCUCUCCUUCCCAAACCUUCCCGGAAGCUCCCCCCUGGCCCCAGAGGGUGGCCGCUCCUCGGCGCUCUUCCUCUUCUAGGUAACAUGCCUCAUGUUGCAUUAGCAAAGAUGGCCAAAAGAUACGGGCCUGUCAUGUUCUUGAAAAUGGGCACUAACAGCAUGGUGGUGGCCUCAACUCCCGAGGCGGCUCGGGCUUUCCUUAAAACGCUAGACAUUAAUUUCUCUAACCGCCCGCCUAAUGCCGGUGCCACACUCUUGGCCUAUCAUGCCCAAGACAUGGUUUUUGCGGAUUAUGGGGCAAGGUGGAAGCUACUGAGAAAGCUAAGCAACUUACACAUGCUUGGUGGGAAGGCUCUUGAGGACUGGUCUCAGGUCCGAGCUGUUGAGCUAGGCCACAUGCUUCGAGCCAUGCUUGAGUUGUGCCAGCGAGCGGAGCCGGUGGUGGUGCCGGAGAUGUUAACUUUUUCCAUGGCCAACAUGAUAGGUCAAGUGAUUCUAAGCCGCCGGGUGUUUGAAACAAAAGGGUCGGAGUCAAAUGAGUUCAAGGACAUGGUGGUGGAGCUCAUGACCAGUGCUGGGUACUUCAAUAUUGGCGAUUUUAUUCCGUCCAUCGCAUGGCUGGACAUCCAAGGGAUCCAGCGCGGGAUGGAGCAUUUACAUAGGAAGUUCGACUGGUU
rnacentral:lncRNA from 1 species